AGAGAGCUGGUGCCUCACAAAACUACAAAUCCCAGGAUUCUGGAGGAUGAAGCCAUGGCAGUUAAAGUGGUGUCAAAGUACAUUAUUUCUAUAAUGUAGAUGCACCUUGUGUCUUUGAUUCUCACAGCUGCACUUUGAACUUAUUGAUCCUUUUAAAAGGAAGCUGUAAUAAGGAGGGUGUCUUCACACACCAAAUCCAGAAAGGCUGCCUUCAACAAUAGCAAUCCAAGGCAUCACUCACUGUAACCAAGUGCUUCUGCAAAAGUGGGAAAUACCUCGGACUGCUUGACCAUUCCCUGGCUGGACCUUGGAUUGAGUACAGACUACUUGGAGACUUUGUGCUCAGUUUGCAGCAAUCUCACUAAACUGGGACAAAGGAUGAAAGUCAGCUGAAACUGUGGGAUAACAGAAGAUUGAUUGGGGCUCUCCCUGCCAAAUCUGGACAGCUGGAAGCUGAAUCGAGUCAGUGGAAGAAUCUUUAUGGAGAAACCAUACACAGCUAUGGAGCAGAAGUUCAUUUCCACCAUUGAGUGGAAUGCUGCACUGGGUCUGAACUCAUGAAGGGGGUGUCUUAGCACAAAUCUGUGAACAAAAAGUAUGCACACAAAAGUGAGAAGAUGUACAUAACAUUGAAACGGUGGGUACAGUAGAAGAGGGUAUCUUCUCUUGUGCAUGCCCUAUACCUAGCAGUAAGUUUGUUUACUGCUUUGCAGAGUUUGAAAACCCAACAUGUUGGAAAGUUGUCUGGGGAUUCUGGGGUUUGUAGUCUUUGCCAAGCUCUGCUGCUGCAUCGGGGCUGUGUUAGCCUUUAAAAAGAGAGUUUAAUGUGGUACCUGUAACUUUCUUUUCAUCUUCAAAGAUGCUGCAAAUUUAAAAAAAAAACAUUGGUGGGGAGGGGGGAAUACAUUGCUAAAGAUAAAGUCACUACACAACUGGUACAGCAAGCUUUCCCCCCUUUCAAUCAAAUAAUUCAGAGAAAUCUGAAGAAGAGGCUGCUUUAGAGCUUCUAGGAAAUUUUAAGAAAGAAAAUGUCUGGAGUUACUGCUGUGAAAAUGUUUCCAACCUGUGCUCCCACUCAACAAAUAUUACAGCUCUCAUUAUGAGACUUCACAGUCUACAGAAGCUGAGAACCUCUAGCCUGGAAAAGUUGCAUUUUGGACUACAAUUCCCAAGAUUCAGAUUCCCUUGGCCAAUUUGGCCAGUGGUCACAUUGGCUGAGGAGUUCUGGGAGUUACACUCCAGUAACCUUUCCAAACCUACAUCUGCACUGCAGAAAUAAUCCAACUUGAAAUUGCUUUAAACUGCCAUGGCGCAAUGCUGUGGAAUUUCUUUGUGUUUUUCCUUGUUAGGACUUUUUCACACGGAGAUAUUGGAAGGUUAAAGUGAGGACAAUGCAAUCCAGGGUAUUAGAGACAGGUUUGCAGCUGCUUUCCACAUGACGCUGGACGCAAUCAAAACAGAAUCCAGGGAGAAUGUGAAUCAAGAAAUAAACAAAUUUGCAAAACUA